rnacentral:rRNA from 1 species
CCUACGGGUGGCAGCAGUGAGGAAUAUUGGUCAAUGGGCGCGAGCCUGAACCAGCCAAGUCGCGUGAGGGAAGACGGUCCUAUGGAUUGUAAACCUCUUUUGUCGGGGAGCAAAAGACGCCACGCGUGGCGUUCCGAGAGUACCCGAAGAAAAAGCAUCGGCUAACUCCGUGCCAGCAGGCGCGGUAAUACGGAGGAUGCGAGCGUUAUCCGGAUUUAUUGGGGUUAAAGGGGGCGCAGGCGGAAGAUCAAGUCAGCGUUAAAAUUGAGGGGUUCAACCUCUUCGAGCCGUUGAGACUGGUUAUCUUGAGUGAGCGAGAGGUAUGCGGAAUGCGUGGUGUAGCGGUGAAAUGCAUAGAUAUCACGAAGAACUCCGGUUGCGAAGGCAGCAUACCGGCGCUCAACUGACGCUCAUGCACGAAAGUGUGGGUAUCGAACAGGAUUAGAUACCCGGGUAGUC